rnacentral:ncRNA from 1 species
CCCUAACAAUCACAAUGGUGUGAUUGACUAAGCCAAGAUAGGAGAUAUACAUG